UACGGAGGGUGCGAGCGUUGUCCGGAAUCACUGGGCGUAAAGGGCGCGUAGGCGGCCUGAUAAGUAGGGGGUGAAAUCCUGCGGCUUAACCGCAGGGCUGCCUUCUAGACUGUCAGGCUAGAGCACAGUAGAGGUAGGUGGAAUUCCCGGUGUAGCGGUGGAAUGCGUAGAGAUCGGGAGGAACACCGGUGGCGAAGGCGGCUUCCUGGACUGUCCCUGACGCUGAGGCGCGAAAGCGUGGGUAGCAAACAGG
rnacentral:rRNA from 1 species